rnacentral:rRNA from 1 species
UACGUAGGGUGCGAGCGUUGUCCGGAAUUAUUGGGCGUAAAGGGCGCGUAGGCGGUUUGUCGCGUCGGGAGUGAAAACCAGGUGCUUAACACCUGGCUUGCUUUCGAUACGGGCAGACUAGAGGUAUGCAGGGGAGAACGGAAUUCCUGGUGUAGCGGUGAAAUGCGCAGAUAUCAGGAGGAACACCGGUGGCGAAGGCGGUUCUCUGGGCAUGACCUGACGCUGAGACACGAAAGCGUGGGGAGCAAACAGG